UUUUCAUUUGUGUCCUUGUGAGUGCCAUUCUCUGCCACCCUGAUGGGACGCUCCCAACAGCAGGUAUCAGUACCCCCUCUUUCCUCUCUACCUUCCUUCUUGGAGCGCAGUUUAAGGUACUGCACUCUGUGGUAGCUUAAUAAAUGGCAUUCCCUGCCUGUUUUCCAGGCUUUCAUUACACUGGAUAAUAAAGGGCCAUUUCUGGCAGCUCUUUGGCUCUUGGCUUCUGUUAGUGCCAAGAGACUCCCACAAACACCAGAAGAGCAACAGCUUUGACAUCUGACAGCUGCAGAGAGACCCAGCUUAAUCCUGUCAUCUCCCAAGAGGAGGAACAACUGUUGCCCUGACCUGGAAUCAGAAGACGAGAAAAAGUAUUGCAUUACCAUGGCAACCACAGCUCCAAAAAUAAAUGCUCUUCAAAACUGUUAUGGGUCUUUGGUGGGGGAAAAAAACCUAACUGCUGUUUGCAGACUAUACCAGGGCCCUGGGUCCACCAUCAGACAAAAUAUUGUUCCCAAUGUGCUCGUGCUCUCUGGAGCCUCAUUUUGGGAAAGAUUGAUCACUCUCCACCUAACUAUCACAAGUUUGG
rnacentral:lncRNA from 1 species